UCCGGUUUGUCACCGGCAGUCCCAUUAGAGUGCUCAACUGAAUGUAGCAACUAAUGGCAAGGGUUGCGCUCGUUGCGGGACUUAACCCAACAUCUCACGACACGAGCUGACGACAGCCAUGCAGCACCUGUGUGUAGGUCCCGUAAGGGAAGGAAUCCAUCUCUGGUGUCCGCGAUCGGGAUGUCAAGGGUUGGUAAGGUUCUGCGCGUUGCUUCGAAUUAAGCCACAUACUCCACCGCUUGUGCAGGCCCCCGUCAAUUUCUUUGAGUUUUAAUCUUGCGACCGUACUUCCCAGGCGGCUUGCUUAACGCGUUAGCUCCGCCACAAGAGGGGUCGAUUCCUCUUACAGCAAGCAAGCACCGUUUAGGGCUAGGACUAC
rnacentral:misc_RNA from 1 species